AUUGAACGCUGGCGGCAUGCUUUACACAUGCAAGUCGAACGGUAACAGGUUAAGCUGACGAGUGGCGAACGGGUGAGUAAUGCAUCGGAACGUGCCCGGUCGUGGGGGAUAACGCAGCGAAAGCUGCGCUAAUACCGCAUACGAUCUAAGGAUGAAAGCGGGGGACCGUAAGGCCUCGCGCGAUCGGAGCGGCCGAUGUCAGAUUAGGUAGUUGGUGGGGUAAAGGCUCACCAAGCCAACGAUCUGUAGCUGGUCUGAGAGGACGACCAGCCAGACUGGGCCGGAGACACGGCCCAGACUCCUACGGGAGGCAGCAGUGGGGAAUUUUGGACAAUGGGCGAAAGCCUGAUCCAGCAAUGCCGCGUGCAGGAAGAAGGCCUUCGGGUUGUAAACUGCUUUUGUACGGAGCGAAAAGGUCUCCUCUAAUACAGGGGGCUCAUGACGGUACCGUAAGAAUAAGCACCGGCUAACUACGUGCCAGCCGCCGCCGUAA
rnacentral:rRNA from 1 species